rnacentral:piRNA from 1 species
GAUGUAGUAUGUAGACUACGGUCAAAGGC